AUGGAGGAGCAGAUGUCGAGGCUCACCCACGACCUAAUGGCGGAGAUCCUCUCUCGCGUGCCCUACAAAUCACUCUGCAUCUGCAAGUGUGUGUGCCCUGCCUGGCGCGACCUCAUCGCAGAUCCGGAGAGUCGGAAGAAGAUUGUGCAGUCCCUGGCCGGUUUCUUCUACCACAUCCCGGCCGACUCUGCCGAGCCCCGCGGCUUGGCCGUCAACUACGCCGACCUCUCUGCCUUCCCUUGGUCCAGCGUGCCCAGGACCUACCCGCGCCUGCCACUACCGCCAGACAGCGCAGACUGUUCCUUCACUCUCAAGGAUUCCUGCGAUGGGCUGUUUCUUACCCGGAUUGGGACGGGCACGCCGGAGCUACAGUUUCGCUACAUGGUCUCCAAUCCAGCUACCGACGAGCACUGGGUUCCCCCGGUUGUGACAGGAGUCAACAUUUACUCUUCAGAAACUGGUGCAUGGGUAGCAAUGGAACCCAAAUGGGACAUCCAAGUUAGCUUGUGCGGCGGUCCACCUGGAGUUUUCCAUAAGGGGUGUUUGCACCUGCUCAUACAUCUUGAUGGGUUGGCAAUACUUGAUGCACAAGGGCUAAACUGGAGGACCAUCCCCGUGCCAAAUUUCAUCGACCCGAGUUUCUCGGGUUUCAUCGGAAAAUCUGCAGGACAACUGUUCUAUAUCAACUCUGACGACAGUGAAGAAGGAUAUGGCUCGACCUCAUUCUCAACUAUAUCUGUCUACGUUCUUAGCAGCGGGAUUUAUAACUGGGAUGCGUCUUAUUUGGACGACGGAUGCGCGCAUUGGAUAUUGUUGCACAAGCUUUCAGAUGUGAUUCCAAAGGAGAAUUUUUGUCUCGGCUGGGACCUCAAAGUCAUCGGAGUACACCCACAUGCCAAUAUCAUCUUUAUGGCUGAUUUCAACAAUAAUGAGCUGUUGGCAUAUGAUUUGGAUCAUCGUGAAAGUACAGCUGUACACCACAUUGAGCGGACCUACCUCGCACAUGAGCAAUAUUUCCCAUAUGUGCCACUGCUGUCCAGCCUACGGCUGCCAACGCCCAGUUGA
rnacentral:rRNA from 1 species